GGCCAGGCAUUGGAUCUGUAUAAUGAACUUGAAGACAGAACGAGUUUCCUGACACAGGAUACAUAUAUGUAACUGCAGGGCCUGCUCUGGCAGACUCCAGAUAGAAGUUCUUUCCAGAUGUAAAUUAAGUGAAUUGAUGAAAUCCUGAAAAAGUGUUUGAGUGUUGGUGUUGUCCAGAUAUUAAAAAAGAAUUGAGCAGCUGCCAGAUGAAUGUACUUUCCAGAUGUAAACCAUCACAAAUGAUGCCUGUUUGUAUUUACCAGUGUUUAAAAAAUGAUCCGAUUUGAUGUGUAAUUCAAAACAAAUCUUCAAAUUGACAAUGGCAAAAAGCAAGGGGAAAUGGAAUACUCCAGUUGAUGAAAAUGGUUAGCAUGGCUAACGUAUGCUUGUGAAAAGUGCAAAGAUCUAUACAGUACUGGGGCAGUAGUUUUUAAGAGAAUUUAAACUGCACUCAGGAGUUGCUUCCCUUCAACUUCAGAAAUCUCUACCUAUAGGUCUGCACAGAUUGAUUGGUCAGUUCACAAACAUUUUGUUAGAAAGUCUGCAAAGCCAUCGACUUGAAUACGUUGGUUAUUUUCAAUGUACCAACAAUAUAGAAAUAAAAUUUGUUUAUAAAUUUGAAA
rnacentral:lncRNA from 1 species